CCUACGGGAGGCAGCAGUGGGGAAUAUUGCACAAUGGGGGAAACCCUGAUGCAGCGACGCCGCGUGAGUGAAGAAGUAAUUCGGUAUGUAAAGCUCUAUCAGCAGGGAAGAAAAUGACGGUACCUGAGUAAGAAGCCCCGGCUAACUACGUGCCAGCAGCCGCGGUAAUACGUAGGGGGCAAGCGUUAUCCGGAUUUACUGGGUGUAAAGGGAGCGUAGACGGCAGUGCAAGUCUGGAGUGAAAGGCGGGGGCUCAACCCCCGAACUGCUCUGGAAACUGUGCGGCUGGAGUGCAGGAGAGGUAAGUGGAAUUCCUAGUGUAGCGGUGAAAUGCGUAGAUAUUAGGAGGAACACCAGUGGCGAAGGCGGCUUACUGGACUGUAACUGACGUUGAGGCUCGAAAGCGUGGGGAGCAAACAGGAUUAGAUACCCGGGUAGUC
rnacentral:rRNA from 1 species